GUCUUGGGGCUGGAUGCUGACAGGAGUCUGCUUCUUCAUAGGAGCAUGUUUUUUGUUUCCCACCUUGACAUCAUUGGAGUUGGAGCUUUGACCCGUCUGUCCCAACUUCCUACUUGAACCAACAAUCAAAAGACUGGA